CAGUCGCCGCGGUAAUACGGAGGGGGCUAGCGUUGUUCGGAAUUACUGGGCGUAAAGCGCACGUAGGCGGCUUGAUAAGUUAGAGGUGAAAGCCCGGAGCUCAACUCCGGAAUUGCCUUUAAGACUGCCGAGCUAGUAGGUGAGAGAGGUAAGUGGAAUUCCGAGUGUAGAGGUGAAAUUCGUAGAUAUUCGGAAGAACACCAGUGGCGAAGGCGGCUCACUGGACGCGUAUUGACGCUGAGGUGCGAAAGCGUGGGGAGCAAACAGGAUUAGAGACCCCAGUAGUCCCUGUCUCUUAUAC
rnacentral:rRNA from 1 species